rnacentral:misc_RNA from 1 species
AUGGAUCAUUAAACAAAAGUCUUCUGACUUUAUACCUGUUGUGAACCCGUUUUUCUAAUCUGGAAUUCUGUAUGUAUGAAAGCUUCGCGGCUUUCAUUGCAUGCUUUUUCCAUUUUUUUCACUAUUUACCCUUAUGUAUCCACUUGAAUGUACACAUUUUCUUUCAUUUGAAAGAAAAAGCCAUAUAAAAUUUUCGUGCAACUCUUAGCAACGGAUAUCUUGGCUCCCGGAUCGAUGAAGAACGCAGCAAAGCGCGAUAGGUAAUGCGAAUUGCAGAAUUCAGUGAAUCAUCAAAUCUUUGAACGCAUCUUGCACUCUUUGGUAUCCCGAAGAGUACACCUCUUUGAGUGUCGGUUCUACCACAAUCUAGCUUCGUGCUGAAAAUGAUACUGGUCUCAGUUGAUCUGAGUCUAUCUAAAUUCAUAAACACUAUGAAUUCACACCGGGGUCUUCUGGUUUUCAGAACCGGUUCCUAUGCUGAUAAUUGACUUCGGUCACUAUUUUCUGCAUUGGUAAUCGUUCUGCCACUCGACCAUUCAACCGAUCGUAAUUUCUAAUUGUGUCUGUCGGUUCAAGGAUUGAACACACCUUGAAAAACAAAUCUUUUUGUUUUUUCUUGAUCUUGACCUCAAAUGAAGUGAGAGAACCCGCCGAAUUUAA